AGAAGGAAAUGAUUCAUAUGUAGCUGUGGAUUUGGUGUGUCCAUGUGAGGAGGCUGGGGUGGAAGUAUAACCUGAGUUUGGCCAACCAAAUGCUCCUCGGAGCCCAAGCACGCAUGGCAAGGACAGAGAAACGGUGGGCAGGCUGGAGGAAGGUACUCUGGUUCUCCUGGACAAAAAAUGGGCAUGCCUAGGACAUGUUAAAAUAUCAACUAUCAAAGAGAUCCUUAACUGGCUACACCGCGGGACAAGCACUGCCACAACUUCCAUGACCGCUUUUGUCGGGAGCCUCCUGGGAACUUCCCUGCCAGGCUGUCACGGGGCCCGUCCUCCCUGCUGCUGACCAAAUGCAAAUCUUGGCGAGGUCUUGCUGGG